rnacentral:rRNA from 1 species
CCCUUAGAUGUUCUGGGCUGCACACGUGCUACACUGGCAGGUUCAGCGAGCUUCAUGCCCUGAUCUGAAAGGAAUGGGAAAUCUUUUCAAAACCUGCCGUGCUUGGGAUAGAUGUUGGCAAUUAUUCAUCUUCAACGAGGAUUGCCUUGUAAGCGCACGUCAUCAGCGUGCAUUGAAUACGACCCUGUAUUCUGUACACACCGCCCGUCGCUCCUACCGAUUGAAGUUUUCGGUGAGUUGACAGGAGGAUUUUUUUGAAACUGGUUCGCCAGUGGAUUUUAGAUCCAAAUGCCAACGAAUCGAUGGCUUUAGAGGAAGGAGAAGUCGUAACA